AAUGGAGAACAUUUACAGAGGACUGUGGGUAAAGCAAAGUCUUCAAGGGAAGAUAACAAAGGAUGAAACAAUGGUGUUGUGUGACUUCCUAGUGUGAAUCAUGGCAAUACAGUGAAAGACAGUGAUUUACUGCUUUUGAGGGCGUGCAUGUAUAUGAUUAACGGAUGGAAGUGCAGGACUCCAAGAUUUACUUCCUUCCCUUUCCAGCAGAAUUACCUGAGACGAGUAAAAUCUACUGGUGGAGUCACUCCAUUAUUCUUAUCUGUGGAGAUCUAGAUCUUGAUUUGAAAGUUUCUGAGAAAAUCUUCAGCUCAGACUUGAGGGUCAACUUUACCAGCUGAAGGAUCUGCAUUUACUGCUCAACCACAUCUAAUUUGAUGUCCUCUGCAGAUUUAAAAUGUGUGCCUUCUUUUCCGUCACCAAGUCAUCCCUGGGUUACUACUGAACAUCCUUCUCAAUUCCCCCCGACCCAUGGAUGGCUGUUCUCCAUUGUCUGUUUCACCAGAUGUCCUCAAAACAAACAGACAGAAGAAGGAAGUGGCUAAUGACCCAAUCUAAUCUAGGUGGGAGAGAAAGUAAAGAGAGUCUCUUGGAAAACUGAAGAGAGUCACAGCAAGCCCACAGAGUUACACAGGAAUCAGGAGGAAUAAAAAUGUAAAGGAGCUGUGGAGUCCAAGUGUGACUGCCAAGAGGAAUCCAGCAAAGCCAAAAAGCCCAAGCAUGUAGCCCUGCCCGAAGCACGCCACACGCAUGGAAAACCCAGAGGAAAUGAGUGAGGAUCAAUGGGAAGAAGAGAGCCAGCCAGGAAGUUGAAGAUUUGUCCAGGAGCAGAUAGCUGAAGAGAGAGAGAGAGAAGAGAGAACGGCUUACAGCUCAGGUCCUCUCUCCAUGCUUAGGAACCACUACAAAUGCUACUGCCUUGAGUCUCAUUUUGUUUCCCUCUGGAAACCACAUGUGUACCUUGUUUGCAACAGUAUGGGCUCACAGGCAGAAGGAAUUUUCCUUGUCUUGGAUGAGACUUUUGACUUGGACUUUUGGGUUAAGUUCUGGAGACCAGAAGGCCAAAAUCAAAAGUAUGGGCAGGCUUGAUUUCUUUAGAAGACUCCAGCGGAGAACUGUGUCUCCUUGCUUCUGAUUCUACAUCUCCAUCCAUGGGCCACUGUUUCAGCAACCUCAGCCAGUGCAACACAACCUCAGCCAAGAAGAGUAUGCAGAGAAAGGAGUCCCCUACCUGCCACAAAACUGUUGUCUGAAAACUGUCUCA
rnacentral:lncRNA from 1 species